rnacentral:lncRNA from 1 species
AGAGGGAGGAGUUAAGGAGACAGACAGAGAGAGAGAGAGAUCUGAGGAGAAGAGGGAGAACCAAAAUGGAGGCUGACGUGGUGUUAUCAAAGGAUAUGUGCAAGAUGAGAGCCAGCCAUCGUCUCCUGAUAGUGGAGAUUUGAUCUGAAGCAUUCAAAUAGGAAAUGAAUGCUCAGAGGAAGCUUCAAAUUUCUUUCUACUUGAAGAAGCUGAAUUGCAGAAGCUAUCUCUGUCCUGUUAAUCACCGGGUCCACAGUGAAACCAGCCAACUUCAGAGAAGACUCUUGUGCUGCGUGACCCCUGACUGUAACCAAGUGUCCUUCUCUCUGAGACGUUCCCUCGGAGCUUGUUCUCACAGCCCUCACCUCCAGUGACCUCCACGAACUUUUCCACACGAGGGGUUCUCUGCUUCCCUCCAUCUGAGCUGCGCAAUUCCACCAGGCCUUUUGCUCCUCUUCAGUCAGGUGCUUUGGAGGUAAUGAAGUCUUUCGGGGGAAAAAUAAACAAAGGAAAUGCACCCGGUUGAUGUCAAUGGACUUGUUUAACUAUUUAAGGCCACUGUCUCCAAGUGUAAGUGUGCUGCGGUGUGUUUUGUAAAGUAGCGCUUAUAAUCCACUGAGCUUUCCAAACAGCCCUCUUGCCUAUUAAGCCUGCAUUGAGAAGUGGGUUUAAUUUGCCAGAGUAGUUUUUUGUGAUAAUUACAGGACUUGCAGAUUAGCUUGAGUGACUUGGCAAGGUUCUGUAGCUAAUAAAAAAUCACACAGGAAAAAAAUUGUAACAUUCAAUUGCUUCAAGGUUCUUCACGAGAGAAACAUUAAACAAACCUGAUAGGCCAGUUUCCAGUCUGUGAAGUAGCAGAGAUAAAAUAGAGAUUUUAAAAGAUGUUUACUCGGGAGUAACAGAGGGGAUUGUUUGCUAGCUGCGGGAAGGAUUAGAACUGCCCAGCCUUUGGGCUAGUAAAGGUGUAUUAAAAGUAACUGGUGUGUGUGGGGAGGGUGGGGUGAAGCGAGCACAUGUGACCAUCCGGGAGCAACGUGGUUAGCCAAAGUACCGCUACACAUGCCUGUUUGUGGUCCUAGAAUUUGGAAAGGGGGAGGGAGCUUGAAAAGUUAGAUAUCAAUGCUCUCUCUCUCUCUCUCUCUCUCUCUCUCUCUCUCUCUCUGUGUGUGUGUGUGUGUGUGUGUGUGUAUAGAACCCGUUUUUAAUCCCAGCACUCAAGAGGCAGAAGCAGAGGGAGGUGGUCUCUGAAUUUGAGGCCAGCCUGGUUUACACAAUAUAUUCCAGGUCAGCCAGAGCUACAAAAAUCAUCUUGAAAACCCUAAAGAGGUCUGGUGAGAUGGCUUAGUGGUUGGGAGCACUGACUGCUCUUCCAGGGGUCCUGAGUUCAAUUCCCACCAACCACAUGGUGGCUUACUGUAAUGGGAUCCAGUGCCCUCUUCUGGGGUGUCUGAAGACGGCAACUGUGUACUCACAUGCAUACAAAUACAUAAAUAAAUAAAUUGUUUAAAAAGUUGACUAUAUAUAAAAAAAGGGGGGGGGAGAAAUCCUAAGGAAAAAAGAAAAAAGAAAAGAAAAAUUUGAGGUCAGUUUGAAAACCCUCUUAAAGAAGAUUAGGGGAAAAAAAGUAAACAAAGGCUGGGGGUGUAGUUUGGUUGGUACAGUGCUGGCCAGCAGCCAGAAUGUCCUGGAUUCAGCUAAUCUUUUGGUUGCCAAAACCAGGCAUGGUGAAAGAGCUCUAGCCAGCAGCCAUGGGUGUGGGAGGAUCAGAAGUUCAAGGUCAUUCGCAGACUUCGUGGAGAGUUUGAGGCUACUCUGGGCUUUAAGAGACCCUGACCCUGUCUCAAAAUAAACAAAAGAGAAAUAUCAAAAAAUAAAAUAUUUCAGAGAAAUAACUAAGUUUCUUAUAAAAAUUAAUUCAUACAUCUUAUGCAUAUGAAUAUUUUGUAUGUACGUCUAUUUGUCACAUUCUUGCUUGGUGCCCCAGAAGGCCAGAAGAGUUCAUCAGAUCCUCGGGAUCUGGAGUUACAGAUGGUUAUGAGCCACCAUGUGGGUGCUUGGAAUUGAACUUGGGCCCUAUGGAAGAACAGCCAGUACACUUAAUCACUGAGCCAUCUCCCCAGACCCCUAAAUAUCUUAUUGCACAAACUCUCAUUAAGUCUUUAAGCAUGACCAUGCUACAAGUUUUGCCUUCCACAGAUAGUUACUGUUUUACUCUGAUUAUCUACUGCAAUCUGCUCUGAGCAAUACUCCACACACACACACACACACACACAAAAAUAAUAAUAAAUAAAAUAACUGUCAGUGAGCUGGCAAGGCGGUAUAUGUCUGCAUCGUCAGGACUCAGGAAGCAGUGGCAGGUACAUGGCGAGUUUGGAGCUAGCUUGGACUAUACACAGAGUUCUAGGCCAGCCUACGCUAUAGCUCUAGAAUGAACUCCUGCUUUCAAAAGCAGGGAAUGUUUCAGAGACUCAAGGAAAGGAACUUGGCAGGCAGGCACCCAGGGUUCACAGUGUGGUGGCUGUGAGCCUGGCCCCUACAGUUAGGACUUCCAACUACAGCAAGAAGCUCAUUCAUCUUAUAAAGCUGCUGCCUUGAGGUCAAGCGGAGCAAGCACAGGCUAACUGCCUUGCAGUGGGCAACUGAUGAAGGGGGAUUAUUGCCUUUAGUUUGGGUAUUUUUUAAUUCUUUGAUGUUUUGUAGCGGAGGUGGGGGAGGGAGUUAUAAGGAACUUUUUUUUUUAAUCCUAAGCUAUCUAUAACUCAUGGCAAUGAUUAUACCUUUGUAAACAGAAAUGAAACACAUUUUUCUCUUUGCUUGAUCCUUUCCAAAUUCAGAAAUUCUGAUUGAAUAUUCCUAUUUCCAUGGUAAUCUUAUUAUUUGCAACACAUUCAGUGAGAACGCGUCCCCUUUGUGACAGAGUAUAACAGGAAAGUGGUAGAAACAUCAGAUAUGACCACACGGUUAUAAUAACUUACUGCAGAACUGGGCGAGGUGACCUUAGGUUAGGGUCGCCUCCCCUAAUGCACCUCCCUGACAAAGCACCCAACAGGGAUCAGACAGGUUAAGGGAGUUUGAAAGUGUAUUCAGGAGAAGGGCAGUGUAUCUUUUGUGCCACCUAGGAAAAGAAGCAUUCAAGAGAAAGAACUAGUCCCAAGCCUUGUUCUGGUAUGGCUUCCUAGUGUCAAGGGGCUUUGUGUGUAGUAUCUGUGUGUGUUAUUCACACAAAGGCCAGAAGACUACAUACAGAAAUCAACUCUCUCUUUCUACUGAACUCAGGUCAUCAAGCUUGGUGGCAGACAUCUUCAAUCACUGAGCCAAGUCUGGUCCCAUAGUAUUUUUUACGAACGAGCCUGAAAUUCACAGAUCCGACUGUGUUGGCUGGCCAGGCAUGUCCAUGGAUCCCCCUGUGUCUGCCCUGACAGAACUGGGCUUACAAGCUACCUUGCCCAACUUUUACGUGGAUGCUGGGGAUUUCAGUUUAGGGUCUCACAUUUGCAUAGCAAGAACUUUACCUCACUGAGCCGUUUCCCUGACUUCCUAGGAAGCAUUUAAAAAAUAUAGUCUGAAUCCAUAUGGAAAAUACCAGCCAAGAAAACUCUAAAUACCAAUGUGGCUCUGUACCAUUUGUGUUUUAUUGAUGUAGUGACCAGGACAACUCUAAUUAGACCAGAAUUAUUUUGCAAACAGUAUCAGAGUAGAGUAACCACACAUGUGUCACAGGAAAUUGUCCCUGGGCUGCACUGGGUCUUCCUGCUUUGAAGGGGGUAGUGGGGAAAAGGUGGACAGAGGUUCUCUCUCUGGAAUGAACUUUAUAGUCAGGCUUCCUGUCAAGUUCUCUUCUUUAGCAGGCUGUCCCCAGGUUCCUAACCUGCACUCAUUGUUCUAAGAAUUAAGUUGAGUCAUUCAGAGGCAAUCUGACUAUCUAAUUAAAUUCCUCCUUCUGUCCUUUUGGCACCUGAUAACUAUAGCCCAUCUUCUACAAGAAUCCUACUGAGUCAGUUUAACUAGGAGCCCUUGAUGUAAUUUUCCAUUCUCUGGCCUUUCUGUUCACAGAAGCACUCACUCUUUGGUUAUGAAUCCUGCCCUUGUUGUGUUUGGAGGAGAGCCCAGUCUUCUCCCCACUUGUAAUAAUCUUGACACCUUUCACAGUGGUUCUGAACAAAGUCUUUUAUACACUUAGCAUGUGUCAAUAUUUUCUUUAGCAGGACUUUGGGUCCCUAACCUGCAACUCAGCACUCAGUCCAUCAUGGGCUUUGCUAGUCUCUGUGACUUCUCCAGGGCAGGAAAGUGACAGGUUUCUGCGCAAGGGAGCCCGAGGUACCUGGUUCAGGAUGGAGAGGGCACUUGAGAGGCGUCAAAAGCAAGCACAGUUAGAGGACAUCAGCGAUGUUAAAACCCCACGAGGGUCAACAGUAGCCCAGGCAAAAUAAAGGAGCCUGAAGUGGAAAAACAGAAAUGGAACAAGACGUUUGUUCUGGAGCACGUGAGAUUGUCCUUCUAAGACAUUUCCAGAAGUAUUCAAAGGAAGAUUUAAUGGGAAAUCAUUAUGCAAAAGAGUCAGUAAUAUAUUUUAGUUUCAAAAAGUACGGAGCGUGACGCCUGUCAAUUAUACCUUCUGCAAAGGUGAGUGGCGGUUGUCCUUGCUGUUCCAAAAUGCAAAGAGAAACAAACAAACAAACAAACAAGCAAACCAGCUACUCCUAUUCCGCACUCCAAACACCAAGCAGAAAUGCUUCUGGGACAAACUGAGCUUCAUUCUUUAUGAAAAUGAAAACACUUCUUUCUGUGCACUAGGAAAAUGUUCUGCCUCUGAGCUGCAAAACCAGCACCAAACUUGAAAAGUUUGUGCAUCAAAGGAAAAAGGCAACCUACAGGAUGGGGGAGAAUAUUUGCAGGACACAUGUCCUGGAAGGAAUACAUAUUUAGACUGAAUAAAAUGAGUAAGAGGAGGGAUAGGGAGUUCGUGUUCAAUGUUGAGAGCUUGGGACAGUUGAGAAAACGCUCCGGAGUGUUCUGCAGAUGAAUGAUGGUGACGACUGCAUCAGUGUGAAUGUCCUUAACGCCGUCAAAAAUUGGUUAUAAUGGCAAAUUUUAUGCUACAUAUGUUUUACUACAAUAAAAAUGCCAGGAAAAUCUAACUGCUCCAAAUCCUGAAUUUAUUAACCCAAUAAAUUAGGAGAUGGUUAUUGACCUAUAAAUGGAUUUGUCAAUUUUUAAAAUGAUUUCCUUUAAAUUGAAUUCUUUCCUAGAGCUUUAUUGUCUCUUCACAAACCAUUAAACACUUGUUAAAGUGUUCAGAGAGGGCUGAGAUGGAGGAGGAAGUGAAAACCAAACAAACAGAUGAGGGACCUUCCCCAAAUGAUGUCUGCUAACAGGCUUCUUGGGUAUUCUAUUUAUAUAGAUUUUACAAGUGUUUUAUUUGAGAGGAAAAAUCCCUAGACCUUACAUAGUACAAUGAACUUCUUAUGCCUGUCAGCUAGAUUUAUUAAUUUUUAACGAGGUGUAUUACUUUUAAAAGCUAUCUAUUUACUAUUGGGGGAGGGAGAAGGACAAAGGACAUCUUGCAGAAGUCUGGUCUCUCCUGCUAUGUGGGUUCUGGAGAUAGGAAAUCAGGCAGGUUGUCAGGCCUAGAAGCAAAGGCCUGUCUGCACUGAGCCAUCUUACUUGUCUUAUUUUGUUACUUUUGAUGACCUAUUUUAGACAUCACUAUUCUAUAGCCCUAAGUAUAACUUCAAGUAUGUAUCUUCCACAAUGACUUUAUGACCAUGAAAUCAAUUCAAGAAAUUUAACAUGUAUGCAGUUCUAUCCAGCGUACAUACAGAUUUCUCAUCCCCCCUUUUACUGUAGUUUAUAGAAAAAGCAAUUCUCUUCCAUAUCUAGAGUUUGACAAGGAAUAUGCAUUGCAUUUGGUUUCUGUGUUCUUUAAUCUCUUGUUGUACAGAACUUCAACCUUUCAUGACAGGUUGAACAAUUUUGGAUCAUACAGGCUGUCAUGGUUUGAAUAUGUUUGGCCCAGGGAGUGGUACUGUUAGGGGUGUGGUCUUCUUGGAAUAGGUGUGUCACCGUGGGCGUGGGCUUUAAGACCCUCAUCCUUAGCUUCUGGAAGUCAGUCUUCCACUAGCAACCUUCAGAUGAAGAUGUAGAACUCUCACCAUCUCCUGCACUAUACCUGCCUGGAUAUCGCCAUGUUCCUGCCUUGAUGAUUAUGGACUGAACCUCUGAACCUGUAAGCCAGCCCCAAUUAAAUUUGUCCUUAUAAGAGUUACCUUGGUCAUGGUGUCUGUUCACAGCAGUAAAACCCUAACUAAGACACAGGCCAAUUACAGAAUGUCUCUUUUUGGUGUGUGCAGUGUUAAAGUUUGAAGCACAAGCCUAAUGCUUGUUAGACAAGCACUCUACCGCUGCUCUACAUCAGCAGCUCAGUGUGCCUCUUGUCUUGAUGGGCUCAUUGUUUUUUAUGACCCAGUGCAUUGGGGUGAGCAGCUCACACAGGUACGAAGGGGUCCCUCUCAGAGCUUAACAUCAGGGAACUCAAUGUUGGUUUGUCUGUUCUAUUUCAGCUGAGCUAGUAUCUGGCAGUUCCCCACAACCCCCAUCAAGUUACCACUUUUUUCUUUGUAAUUGUAAUUUGCAAAGAAAUAUUUGCAAGAUUAAGUAAUAGACUACACAACGUGUUUUAGCUUCCACUGAGCAUUCAGCCUGAACUGUUUUAUAAAGUUAUGAAAUGAUAGAUUUCCAACUUAAUAAUUAUUUUAAAGACUUAUUUUAUUUUUAGUUCUGCAUGUAUGCCUGUGUGUGCACGUGUGUACCUAUGUAUCUGUAUGGUUAUGUGCACAUGAAUGCAGAUGUCCAAGGAGAAGAGGCCAGACACAUUGGAUCCCUGGUGCUCAAGUGGGAGGUGGCUGUCAGCUGCUGUAGGAAGGUGAUGGGAACUCAGCUUGAGUCCUUUGCAAGAACAGCAUGAGCUCUUAAACACAGAGCCACAUCUUCAGUCCCUCUCUUAUUUUUUUAAAAAUUAUUCUCUCUCUGUGUAUGUGUGUGUAUACAGAGGUCAGAGGAUCAUUUUUGUAAAAUUAGUUCUCUCUACCUUUUUUUGUGGGCUCUGGGGACUAAACUCAAGUUGUUGGGAUUUUGUGACAAGUGCUGUAUCCACUGAGCCCUCUCACAUGCCCUUAAAUGUUAUUUUAAAUAAUAGCAAAUGAGUACGUUCAAGCAUACGAGAAUAAGCAUGUCCUAUUGAUUUGAAUAUGCAAAAGUAUGCCAAUUUUUUAAAUCUCUAUUACCAAGUGGACAAGUAUUCCAUUUUAUCUCCAAAAGUAAAGAUUUCUUUUAGAUACAGUCAUGUGGAUUAUACAACUUGACUGAAGCCAUGUCUCCAAGAUACAUACCUAGAGGGUAAAGGGAAUGCUUUAAAGGAGCGUGAUUAUGAAUAUCCAAGCUGAAAAUAAACACUAAUUACUAACAAAAAGGAUUACUGAGAAAAAUAUGGGUUGGUUUUCAGUACUUGACUCUGUAAAGUUAUUUCUUUUCUUAUUUAGUUUUUAUUCAUAAUCAUAAACUUAACUUUGCCAUCCAGCUAGACUUGAAGGGGAAUGAGGAAAAUAUGGAACCCAAAGAACUUGAGCAGAGAUUACAGGGUAUUUCAAGCAGAUGGGGUAGGGAUGCUCUCCUGCGCUACAGAAGGAAUGGUUGGAUGGGUAAAAUGCCUGCAAGUCAAAAGAAAUUAGAGUUAUCCACAGUCGGAAAUGGUCUUGCUGGUCUUUCCAUUCCUGGACCCAAAACACUCCAUGGCUUCCACAAUGUUCAUGCCUUCUUUCACCUUCCCAGACACCACAUGCUUGCCAUCCAGCCACUUAGUCUUGGCAGUGCAGAUAAAAAACUGGGAACCGUUUGUGUUGGUCCAGUAUUUGCCAUGGACAAGAUGCCAGGACCUGUAUGCUUCAGGAUGAAGAUCUCAUCCUCAAAUUUCUCUCCAUAGAUGGAUCUGCCGCCAGUGCCAUUAUGGCAUGUAAAGUCACCACCCUGGCACAUGAAUCCUGGAAUAAUUCUGUGAAAGGAGGAACCCUUCUAGUAAAAUCCUUUCUCUCCAGUGCUCAGAGCAUGAAAGUUUCCCGCUGUCUUUGGAACUUUGUCUGCAAACAGCUGGAAGGAGACUCUUCAAGGGCUCGUCAUCGGCCGUGAUGUCAGAGAACACGGUGGGGUCGACUGUGGCUACAGCAAGAGGACCAACGGUACUGUUGCUCUAGCUACAGGAAUAAUCCUGGGCAGCACUUGUUGACCUUGGUCACUGUCAAGGGAAGAUCGGCUGUUCCCACUGAGGGCAUCUUGAUGGAUUAAGGUGAUCAGCUGAUCAAUGUGAGGGGACAGAUGGGAGCUAGGAACUGUCUCGGUACUGAGUCAUUUUUCAUCUAAUGUGCAAGAAACCCAAAGAGCACAUCAAACAGCGAACUACGCCUAAGCUAUCCAUGUUUCUCCUGCUUCUUCUGAGAGGGUGAUUUACACGUAGCUCAACACUCGAGUGUUGCAGUAUCGAGUGACUGCAACCAAACAAUGGAACAUGCAUCGUGCCUGUUGACAGAGCCUGCAGUUGGCUUGGAACCGGGACCAUGCUGCAUUCGACAUCGUUCCUGGUGGCUGACUUGUUCCCAUAGAAUUAAAUGCUAGGCAUCCAGAAGCUGACUGUGCAUCUGAUGGGCUCACUAACAUUCAGGAACAGGUUGGCCUCAGACUUCAUCAAUGGAAAGUGUAGGCAUAGGACAAAAAAAAGAGCACGUUUGAAAGACUACAUUUUCAUGAAAUUGGAAAUGCUACAUGCAAGCUGCAGAUGCUGAUUGCAGAGUCAGAAGACAUGGCCGUCAGUGUUAGGACUCUGCCUUAUUCUGCUAUUUCUCCUUGACGACCUACAGUUUGCAUUGUGGGUGGCAUUCAUUAACGAGGGCAGUAAAAACAUGGAGAAAACAUUGCAAGCUCUCCUUCGUGUUUCGCUCACUGGCCAAGUAGCUAACCAACUAGGUGUUCAGGCUCCCAUGUGUCUCAAUAUGAUGUGGCUCCUUCCAGUAGCAACCAUCCUGAGCAGAGACCUUUGUUCUAAUUUAAAAAUUAGACAUGAUAUAGAGCUUACCACACAUUUUUCCCCCUGAAGAUUAAAGAUCUUCAUGAAGGUACUGGCUUAAAAGACAUCAACCCCAAGCCUUUCGAAGGAUAUGCACUUGAGAUUGCCAUACUCGAUGGUGCGUCCAAUUAACUUAGAAAUACCCUUGACAUUUCUCAUCCGUGAAGAGAAGCUUUAGGUGACAGUUUUCAUGGUGUGGGUACUCUCGGUGCCUAAUUUGCUUUUUUUUCUUGUUUUCAAGCCUGAAAGGGAAAUAGCCUUGGCUUUCAGCUCUGGAGCGCGAUGCCCUCCUUACGAGUAUUCAGCUACUGUCUGAACCAUUGUACUUGCCUUCCCCUCCAUACCCCUUUUUCCCCAAAGUCCCGUUGAUAGCUCAUU